CGACGCGUGCGGGAUGACGGCCUUCGGGUUGUAAACCCCUUUCUCCAGGGACGAAGCGCUAGUGACGGUACCUGCAAAAGAAGCACCGGCCAACUACCUGCCAGCAGCCGCGGUAAUACCGUAGGGUGCGAGCGUUGUCCGGAAUUACUGGGCGUAAAGAGCUCGUAGGCGGUUUGUCGUCUCGUCUGUGAAAUCUCACAGCUUAACUGGGGGCGUGCGGGCGAUACGGGCAGACUGGAGUACUGCAGGGGAGACUGGGAUUCCUGG
rnacentral:rRNA from 1 species